rnacentral:rRNA from 1 species
UUAAUGGAGAGUUUGAUCCUGGCUCAGGACGAACGCUGGCGGCGUGCCUAAUACAUGCAAGUCGAGCGGGAUUAGUUAGAAGCUUGCUUCUAACUAAUCUAGCGGCGGACGGGUGAGUAACACGUAGGCAACCUGCCCACAAGACAGGGAUAACUACCGGA